UUGACAUAGCUCAGAGGCAGAGCAUUUGCUCUGCAUGCAAAAGGUCCCAGGUUUGGACCCUAGCAUCACUUGUUAAG